UGCACUCCAGCCUGGGUGACAGAGCGAAACUCUGUCUCAAAAAAGAAAGCCUGUACAUGAAUGUUUACAGCAACUUUAACCAUAAUUGCCAAAACUUGGUAGCAACCAAGCUGUUCUUCAACAGGUGAAUGCAUGAACUCUGGUACACUCAGACUGUGGAAUAUUACUCAGCACUAAAAAGAAAUAAGCUGUCAAGCUGUGAAAAGACAUAGAGGAAUCUUAAACACGUAUUACUAAAGUGAAAAAAGCCCAUCUGAAAAGGUUAUAUACUAUGUGAUUCCAACUAUAUGACAUUCUGGAAAAAGCAAAACUAUGGAGACAUUAAAAAGAUCAGUGGUUGUCAGGGGUUGUGGGAGAGAGGAUGAAUAGGUAGGGCCCACAGGAUUUUCAGAGAAGUGAAACUAUCCUAUAUGAUACCACAGUGGUAGAUGUCAGGACACGUCUCAACCCAUAGAACGGGCAACACCAAGAGUAAACCCUAACGUGAACUGUGGACUUUGGUUGACAACGACGUGUCAACAUAGGUUCAUCGGCCGUAACAAAUGUACCACUCUGGUGCAGGAUGGUGGGGGAGGUGGUAUGUGUGGCGAGGGUUUGGGGGCAUGUGGGAAAUCUCUGUACUUUCCACGUAGUUUUGCUGUGAACCUAAAGUUGCUCUAAAAAAAUAAAAUCUAGCCGGGCACGGUGGCUCGUGCUUCUAAUCCCAACACUUUGGGAGGCCGAGGUGGGUGGGUUGCUUGAGGUCAGGAGUUCGUAACCAGCCUGGCCAACGUGGUGAAACCCCGUCUUUACUAAAAAUACAAAAAUUAG
rnacentral:lncRNA from 1 species